GUAGCUCAGUGAUAGAGCACUUGCCUACCAUGUGUAAGGCCUGGGUUCAAUUCCCAGC
rnacentral:tRNA from 1 species